UACGUAGGGUGCAAGCGUUGUCCGGAUUUAUUGGGUUUAAAGGGUGCGUAGGCGGCUUUGUAAGUCAGUGGUGAAAUACUCUAGCUUAACUAGAGGGGUGCCAUUGAUACUGCGGAGCUUGAGUACAGAUGAGGUAGGCGGAAUUGACGGUGUAGCGGUGAAAUGCAUAGAUAUCGUCAAGAACACCGAUAGCGAAGGCAGCUUACUGGGCUGUAACUGACGCUGAUGCACGAAAGUGUGGGGAUCAAACAGG
rnacentral:rRNA from 1 species